rnacentral:rRNA from 1 species
GCACAGAGGGAAGCCAGGUGGCGACACCGCGCGGAACCCGAAAGCCGUUCUCAGUUCGGAUCGGAGUCUGCAACCCGACUCCGUGAAGCUGGAUUCGCUAGUAAUCGCGCAUCAGCCAUGGCGCGGUGAAUACGUUCCCGGGCCUUGUACACACCGCCCGUCAAGCCAUGGGAGCCGGGGGUGCUUGAAGUGCGUCGCCGCAAGGCGCGCCCUAGAGCAAAACCGGUGACUGGGGCUAAGUCGUAACAAGGUACC